CCUUUGGACAUCAAUGUCAAACUUCAUGCUGAUUCUGGUGACAUCUUGCCCUCUCCUGACCAGUACAGGAGUCUAGUUGGCAAGAUGUUGUUCCUGACUCAUACUAGGCUUGACAUUUGUUUUGCAGUCCAGCAUCUGAGUCAAUUCCUCAAAUCCCCCAGACUUCCCCAUAUGACUGCUGCCCUGCAUGUUCUGAGAUACCUUAAGGGCUCUGAGUCAAUUUCUCAAAUGCCCCAGCAUUCCUCAUAUGACUGCUGCCCUGCAUGUUCUGAGAUACCUUCAGGGCACUCCCUCCUUGGGUUUGUUUUAUUCUGCUCAUGCUGAUUUUUCUGUUACUGGGUAUUCUGAUAGUGGCUGGGCUGCUUGCCCUGAUACUAGGCGAUCUGUUACUGGUUUUUGUGUGCUUUUGGGUGGCUGUUUGAUCAGUUAGAAAUCGAAGAAACAGCCUGUUGUUUCUCUAUCCUCUGCUGAGGCAGAAUAUCGAGACCUUAGCAAGGUUAUUGCUGAGUUGACUUGGAUUUCUCGUUUGUUGGUUGACCUUGGGUAUCUGUUUCUUCUCCUAUUUCUGUAUAUUGUGAUAGUUAGGCUGUUGUUCAUAUUGCUAACAAUCCUGUUUUUCAUGAACGUACCAGACAUAUCGAGGUGGACUGCCAUUUUGUUCGGGACUUGCUACAAUCUGGUUUUCUCAAGCUGCUUCAUGUGCCUACUUCUCGUCAGCUGGCCGACCUGCUCACUAAGCCACUACCU
rnacentral:lncRNA from 1 species